GACUUUGUGUUGCAUGGUUCACUGUUACUGUGGUAGUUAUUAUUAUUGUUAUGUUUUAUUUUUGGAAAUGGGCAGAAGGAAGAGAACCAAGUAGGGGAAUGUAUAGACAGUUUCAUCUAUGUAACAAAAUUAUGUUGCAGACCAGAAAAUCUCUUUUGGAAUCAUUUGAGCUAAUUCUAGGCAACUUCGUUUAUCAAAGAUUAUGUUGGUGCCUUUGACUGGAUAAGCGAGAGUCUACUUCUAGGCUCUAUUCUAUUUCAUUGUUCCAUCUGUCUCUCCAUAAGCAGUAUCACACUAUUUUAAUUACAAUAGCUAUACAGUAAAUCAUGAAAUAGUGUAAAUCCUCCCACUUUGUACUUAUUAUUUAAGAUUUCUAUGGAUGAAUAUUCUAGACAUUGUGCUUCCUGUAACUUCUAGAACCAACUUACUGAUUUCUACCCAAAAAAAUCUGCUGGAAUUAUAAUUGGGAUUGCAUUAACUCUGUAGAUCAGUUUGAGGAGAAUUAAUAUCUUAAAAUUAUCUAAUAUUCUAAUUCAUGAAUAUGAUGUACCUUUAUUUACUUAGGUUACUUUUAAUUUAUAUCAAAAUGUUUUACACCAUAGUGGCUUUUAUUUUAUUUGACUUUUUAUGAUUCAAGUAUAAAAAAAGGUAUCAUACACUUAUAGUGGUCUAUUAUUAACUCUCAUUUGGUUAAGGAUUUAAAAAUUUUAGGGCUAGAAUUCAAAUCAGCUUCCCAUUUUACUAAAGAAAUGCCUGAAUUGUGGCAUGUUACUGUGGGAUAUUGUAGAGUGGUGGUUCUUUAUUCUUUGUUGUCACCUUUUGUGAUCCCUUUGAGAAGCGACAAGAGCUAUAUUCACAAACUCAUAUAUGAGUUUCCUAUUGUUUUAGAGUCUUCAUAAGCUCCCUAAAAUUCUUCACACAUCAACACCACGCUAAAACUCUAGACAAGAGAUAAAAUGCUACAAGCAACUUCUGUACAUUCAUCAAUACCCAAAAACAAUAUGCAAGUGAAAAAAAACUGCACUUUUUUUCUGCACUUAGUUUUGCACUAAAACUUCUGAACUUAACCCAAUGGUUGAUUAUUUAGUUGAUAGAUUUGGACUUCAUUUGCAUAGUAAAACAGCAUCAGUUGCAAAAUAAUAUUUGUAAUUUCUCCACUUUUUCAGUGCCCCAAGAGCUUUCAAUUCUAGAUUAAAACCUCUGACCUAAAAGUCUCUAAAAAAAAAAAAAAAAGGUAAAAUAAACCAACAAUUCCCUUGAGUGUGUUGAU